rnacentral:lncRNA from 1 species
AAGGAUUGAAGAAGAUAAAGGAAGCAAGCUGGAUGCAGUGUAUAACAGCUGGGCGAUGCGGUAAGCAAGCUCGACCAGCUAGGUGAAGUGUAGUGCAGCUCGGUGUAGCUCACUGAAGUGUAGGUCAGCUCCAGCAGCUAGAAUACUAGCUCAGUCAGAUGGGACAUCUGGGGAUCAGCUCAACUUAGCUAGAUGGAGUGUUGGAAGCUCGGACCAUUGGGUCGGGUCCAGUGGGCACUUGGGAUCGGACCAGGGGCUUGGGCAACCAGCCUGGGCUUGUGUGUGAUGUGUCUAGGAGCAGUUAGGACUGCCAGGGACGUCUGGUAACCGCCAUAGGCAAAUGGGUGUGAUCUGGUCCAUUGAUUAAAUCAAUGGACAAUUAAUACCAAAGGGAUGCAAUGGUUAAGAAGUAACCAAUCCUUCUUCUAUGAAAGGAAAGCUAGUCCGUGUCUUUGCAGGCACGCCAUGACUUCUUCCCACACCCUGAAACAAAAAAAAAAGAGAAAAACAAAGAGAUGGUCGGAUUCAACAAUCCAAUACCAAGAGGCAUUCAAAGGCAACAAAUAGUCUGUUUUGGAGGGCAAUCAAUGGGGAAGUUAUGAAUGACCCUUUGAUGAGUUUUGAUUAUUGUUUGCCACACCAUAGGCUUCAUCUACAUCCAU